rnacentral:rRNA from 1 species
UGGAGCAUGUGGUUUAAUUCGACGCAAUGCGAAGAACCUUACCAGGGCUUGACAUCCCCUGACCGCGUAUGAAAGUACGUUUUCACCCUCGGGUGACAGGGAGACAGGUGGUGCAUGGUUGUCGUCAGCUCGUGUCGUGAGAUGUUGGGUUAAGUCCCGCAACGAGCGCAACCCCCACGUUUAGUUGCUAACAGGUGAAGCUGAGCACUCUAGACGAACUGCCGUUGACAAAACGGAGGAAGGUGGGAUGACGUCAAAUCAUCAUGCCCCUUAUGUUCUGGGCUACACACGUGCUACAAUGACCGGUACAGACGGAGGCGAAGCCGCGAGGCGGAGCAAAUCCGAAAAAGCCGGUCUCAGUUCGGAUUGCAGGCUGCAAUUCGCCUGCAUGAAGUCGGAAUCGCUAGUAAUCGCAGGUCAGCAUACUGCGGUGAAUACGUUCCCGGGCCUU